GGCGGGGCUGGCUUCUCCAGGGCUUCGCGGUCUCCAACCGAGCCGCCAAGGGGGGAGUUUUGCGGGGAGGGGGCGCUGCCUGAUACACUGGGCCCAUUUAGACAACAGUUAGAAAACGGAGGCCCAAUAUCCAGCAAGCGAGGAGCUGGAAAAGGAAGCUGUGAGGAGAUUUGAGCAGGAAGGGGACAUAUGAUGAUGGAAGAGAAGACCAUGGGUUCGGAGGUCCAGCAUUGGCACUUCAGGAUAUCCACUACGCGGAGGCUAAGGGCCCCCGAGAGAUUUGCAGUUAUCUCCAUCACUUUUGCCGUGGGUGGCUGAAGCCAGAAAGAUACACAAAGGCCCAGAUGCUGGACCUGGUGUUCUGGAGCAGCUCCUGGCUAUCCUUCCCCCGGAGAUGGAGGGCUGGGUGCGAGAGUGUGGAGCAGAGACCAGCUCCCAGGCGGUGGCCCUGGCAGAAGGUUUCCUCCUGAGCCAAGCAGAGGAGCAGAAGGGGCAGGUCGAGUUGCAGGGGCAAGAAUCCUUCCUUCAGAUGGUCCCCAAAUUUCCCACGGGGAGGAGUAAUCCUUCAAGUCUCUUUCCAGAGCUUGGAGCCUCUGUAGAUGAUCAAAAUUCUGACAUCUUUCUAGGU